GGGAUAACGCAGCGAAAGCUGUGCUAAUACCGCAUACGAUCUACGGAUGAAAGCAGGGGACCGCAAGGCCUUGCGCUCAUGGAGCGGCCGAUGGCAGAUUAGGUAGUUGGUGGGAUAAAAGCUUACCAAGCCGACGAUCUGUAGCUGGUCUGAGAGGACGACCAGCCACACUGGGACUGAGACACGGCCCAGACUCCUACGGGAGGCAGCAGUGGGGAAUUUUGGACAAUGGGCGAAAGCCUGAUCCAGCCAUGCCGCGUGCAGGAUGAAGGCCUUCGG
rnacentral:rRNA from 1 species